ncrna:Brachypodium distachyon miR444c stem-loop (bdi-MIR444c)
GUGGUGACAAACUUGAGGCAGCAACUGCAUAUCUUGCAAGAAAAUUGGGUUUCAGAGCAUACCGAUGAUUUUCUUGCAAGUUGUGCAGUUGUUGUCUCAAGCUUGCUGCCUCC